rnacentral:tRNA from 1 species
CAGAAUAUACCUUAAAUCAAAAGUAUCUCGCUUACACCAAGACCAUAUUUGUGUGAAUCAAAUUAUUCUGA